rnacentral:rRNA from 1 species
UAGGGAAUCUUCGGCAAUGGGGGGAACCCUGACCGAGCAACGCCGCGUGAGUGAAGAAGGUUUUCGGAUCGUAAAGCUCUGUUGUUAAGGAAGAACGAGUGUGAGAAUGGAAAGUUCAUACUGUGACGGUACUUAACCAGAAAGGGACGGCUAACUACGUGCCAGCAGCCGCGGUAAUACGUAGGUCCCGAGCGUUGUCCGGAUUUAUUGGGCGUAAAGCGAGCGCAGGCGGUUAGAUAAGUCUGAAGUUAAAGGCAGUGGCUCAACCAUUGUAGGCUUUGGAAACUGUUUAACUUGAGUGCAGAAGGGGAGAGUGGAAUUACAUGUGUAGCGGUGAAAUGCGUAGAUAUAUGGAGGAACACCGGUGGCGAAAGCGGCUCUCUGGUCUGUAACUGACGCUGAGGCUCGAAAGCGUGGGGAGCGAACAGG